rnacentral:rRNA from 1 species
CUGCCCAGCAGAACGACCCGCGAACAUGUUGUCAAACUAUCGGGAUGCGCCGGGCACUGCCGCGGCGCUUCUCGGGGGUCGGGUGCGGAUCGGCGGGCCUGUUCCGUCGCCCCGUUCCCCUUCCCCCACGAACAAAACCCCGGCGCACGAUGCGCCAAGGAAUCGCAACGAGAAAAGGAACGAGCACCCGUUGCGCGCCGGGAACGGAAUGCGCACGGGCGGCCUCGUAUUCUUUGAAAACAAAACGACUCUCGGCAACGGAUAUCUCGGCUCUCGCAUCGAUGAAGAACGUAGCGAAAUGCGAUACUUGGUGUGAAUUGCAGAAUCCCGUGAACCAUCGAGUCUUUGAACGCAAGUUGCGCCCGAAGCCUUCGGGCCGAGGGCACGUCUGCCUGGGUGUCAUGCACCGUCGCCCCCCAUCCCCACUCCCCCGAGGGGAGUCGGGAAGCCCGGGGCGGACAAUGGCCUCCCGUGCGCUCUCGCUCGCGGUUGGCCUAAAUCCGAGUUGUUGGCGGCGAGCGCCACGGCAAGCGGUGGUUGGAAAGACCCUCUGAAGUGCCGUGUGCCGGCCCGCCACAAGGCUCCGAGACCCCUGUCGCUCUAUGUCGCGACCCCAGGUCAGGCGGGACCACCCGCUGAGUUUAAGCAUAU